rnacentral:lncRNA from 1 species
CGCUCCUUCGUUAUCUACCCCGUCCGGGAGGUCUCCGUCCAGUACUUGGUUUCGUUUGUCCUGCUAACUUGCCCUCGUCCGUGGGCGUCUUCGGCCCUUCUGUCCUUCUUCGUUCGGCCGCCGAGGCUACUGCGUACCCUGCUUGGCGCCCCCCUUCUGGGUGUUUCUUCGUUCGCCCGCUCACGCCGCGUUUCCUCCCGUGCCCGCUCACGUCUUUUUUUCGAUGCUUAAACUCAUUUUUCGUUGCAAUGUAUCGCUUUCGCGUUCUUACUUAUUGCACGUUUUCCUUUCGGGAGCGGUCUGGGCUAGCCGAAUGUUCCCGCG